rnacentral:rRNA from 1 species
GAUGAACGCUAGCGGCAGGCUUAACACAUGCAAGUCGAGGGGUAUAGGUUUUCGGACCUAGAGACCGGCGCACGGGUGCGUAACGCGUAUGCAAUCUACCUUUCACAGAGGGAUAGCCCAGAGAAAUUUGGAUUAGUACCUCAUAGUAUAGCAGUUUCGCAUGAAACCACUAUUAAAGUUCCAACGGUGAAAGAUGAGCAUGCGUCCCAUUAGCUAGAUGGUAAGGUAACGGCUUACCAUGGCUACGAUGGGUAGGGGUCCUGAGAGGGAGGUCCCCCACACUGGUACUGAGACACGGAUCAGACCCCUACGGGAGGCAGCAGUGAGGAAUAUUGGUCAAUGGGCGCAAGCCUGAACCAGCCAUGCCGCGUGAAGGAUGAAGGUUCUAUGGAUUGUAAACUUCUUUUAUUUGGGAAUAAACCCCUUUACGUGUAGAGGGCUGAAGGUACCAAAUGAAUAAGCACCGGCUAACUCCGUGCCAGCAGCCGCCGUAAUAC